rnacentral:rRNA from 1 species
AGCGAACGCUGGCGGUAGGCUUAACACAUGCAAGUCGAACGGAUCCUUCGGGAUUAGUGGCGGACGGGUGAGUAACACGUGGGAACGUGCCUUUUGGUUCGGAACAACACAGGGAAACUUGUGCUAAUACCGGAUAAGCCCUUCGGGGAAGGAUUUAUCGCCAUUAGAGCGGCCCGCGUCUGAUAGCUAGUUGGUGAGGUAAAGGCUCACCAAGGCUACGAUCAGUAGCUGGUCUGAGAGGAUGAUCAGCCACACUGGGACUGAGAC